rnacentral:rRNA from 1 species
AUGCACGCUGGCGGCGUGCCUAAUACAUGCAAGUCGAGCGAACAGACGAGGAGCUUGCUCCUCUGAUGUUAGCGGCGGACGGGUGAGUAACACGUGGAUAACCUACCUAUAAGACUGGGAUAACUUCGGGAAACCGGAGCUAAUACCGGAUAACAUGUUGAACCGCAUGGUUCAACAGUGAAAGACGGUCUUGCUGUCACUUAUAGAUGGAUCCGCGCCGCAUUAGCUAGUUGGUAAGGUAACGGCUUACCAAGGCAACGAUGCGUAGCCGACCUGAGAGGGUGAUCGGCCACACUGGAACUGAGACACGGUCCAGACUCCUACGGGAGGCAGCAGUAGGGAAUCUUCCGCAAUGGGCGAAAGCCUGACGGAGCAACGCCGCGUGAGUGAAGAAGGUCUUCGGAUCGUAAAACUCUGUUAUUAGGGAAGAACAAAUGUGUAAGUAACUAUGCACGUCUUGACGGGACCUAAUCAGAAAGCCACGGCUAACUACG